rnacentral:rRNA from 1 species
UACACUCCUGCGGGAGGCAGCAGUGGGGAAUAUUGGACAAUGGGCGCAAGCCUGAUCCAGCCAUGCCGCGUGAGUGAUGAAGGCCCUAGGGUUGUAAAGCUCUUUCACCGGUGAAGAUAAUGACGGUAACCGGAGAAGAAGCCCCGGCUAACUUCGUGCCAGCAGCCGCGGUAAUACGAAGGGGGCUAGCGUUGUUCGGAUUUACUGGGCGUAAAGCGCACGUAGGCGGACUAUUAAGUCAGGGGUGAAUUCCCGGGGCUCAACCCCGGAACUGCCUUUGAUACUGGUAGUCUUGAGUUCGAGAGAGGUGAGUGGAAUUCCGAGUGUAGAGGUGAAAUUCGUAGAUAUUCGGAGGAACACCAGUGGCGAAGGCGGCUCACUGGCUCGAUACUGACGCUGAGGUGCGAAAGCGUGGGGAGCAAACAGGAUUAGAAACCCCAGUAGUCCCAU